rnacentral:rRNA from 1 species
UACGUAGGGUGCAAGCGUUGUCCGGAAUUAUUGGGCGUAAAGAGCUCGUAGGCGGUGUGUCGCGUCUGCUGUGAAACUCAGGGCUCAACUCUGAGCUUGCAGUGGGUACGGGCACACUAGAGUGCUGUAGGGGAGACUGGAAUUCCUGGUGUAGCCGGUGAAAUGCGCAGAUAUCAGGAGGAACACCGGUGGCGAAGGCGGUUCUCUGGGCCUGUACUGACGCUGAGGAGCGAAAGCGUGGGGAGCGAACAGG